rnacentral:rRNA from 1 species
GACGAACGCUGGCGGCGUGCUUAACACAUGCAAGUCGAACGGAAAGGCCCUGCUUUUGUGGGGUGCUCGAGUGGCGAACGGGUGAGUAACACGUGAGUAACCUGCCCUUGACUUCGGGAUAACUUCAGGAAACUGGGGCUAAUACCGGAUAGGAGCUCCUGCUGCAUGGUGGGGGUUGGAAAGUUUCGGCGGUUGGGGAUGGACUCGCGGCUUAUCAGCUUGUUGGUGGGGUAGUGGCUUACCAAGGCUUUGACGGGUAGCCGGCCUGAGAGGGUGACCGGCCACAUUGGGACUGAGAUACGGCCCAGACUCCUACGGGAGGCAGCAGUGGGGAAUAUUGCACAAUGGGCGGAAGCCUGAUGCAGCAACGCCGCGUGCGGGAUGACGGCCUUCGGGUUGUAAACCGCUUUCGCCUGUGACGAAGCGUGGGUGACGGUAAUGGGUAAAGAAGCACCGGCUAACUACGUG